rnacentral:rRNA from 1 species
CGGGACGGGUGAGUAAUGUCUGGGGAAACUGCCUGAUGGAGGGGGAUAACUACUGGAAACGGUAGCUAAUACCGCAUAACGUCGCAAGACCAAAGAGGGGACCUUCGGGCCUCUUGCCAUCGGAUGUGCCCAGAUGGGAUUAGCUAGUAGGUGGGGUAACGGCUCACCUAGGCGACGAUCCCUAGCUGGUCUGAGAGGAUGACCAGCCACACUGGAACUGAGACACGGUCCAG